rnacentral:rRNA from 1 species
AUUGAACGCUGGCGGUAUGCUUUACACAUGCAAGUCGAACGGUAACAGGUUAAGCUGACGAGUGGCGAACGGGUGAGUAAUACAUCGGAACAUGCCCAGUCGUGGGGGAUAACUAUCCGAAAGGAUAGCUAAUACCGCAUACGAUCCAAGGAUGAAAGCGGGGGACCGAAAGGCCUCGCGCGAUUGGAGUGGCCGAGGUCAGAUUAGGUAGUUGGUGGGGUAAAGGCUCACCAAGCCAACGAUCUGUAGCUGGUCUGAGAGGACGACCAGCCACACUGGAACUGAGACACGGUCCAGACUCCUACGGGAGGCAGCAGUGGGGAAUUUUGGACAAUGGGCGAAAGCCUGAUCCAGCCAUUCCGCGUGCAGGAUGAAGGCCCUCGGGUUGUAAACUGCUUUUGUACAGAACGAAAAGGUUUCUACUAAUACUAGGAGCUCAUGACGGUACUGUAAGAAUAAGCACCGGCUAACUACGUGCCAGCCGCCGCAGUAA